CAUCCCCGGCAGUGGGCAAAGAGACACCUUGUUGAUGGUGUCCUUAUAUCAGUCAGGGACAGAGCAGAUGGCAAUCCUUUGUUCAUCCUAGCUUGAUGACUGGCUUUGGUGGCCAAAGCCAUCUUUGUAUGCCUAGGACUCAUAA